ACACUAUCCAACCCGAGGAAACAAAAAUAUUAAUUUCCCCCAAUUGAGGCAGUACAUAAUUAGGCCAGGUAUAUCUUAUCAAUUACAAAUAGGUAUGUAAUAAUCAGUAUUAUCAUUCAGCGAGGAUUUGUAUCAUCGUGAACUACAUCAUUUCUAACGUCAUCCAGUGAAACGGACAACCAUACUUAGCAAUGUAAACUACAUUGUCUUAUAUCUCAGCAUAAAUGUUACUGUUUGGAUUAUUUCUCGCUAUUGUGGUCCCAUUGGGUGUUUCUGUGUGUGUGUACUUCACAAGGAAUCGGAGUAAAUCAGUCCAAGAGAAUGAAUUACCGUCCUCAUCAGCACUUGAUCAUCGAAACAACAAACGAACGACAAGACAAAUGGCUCUUCCCAGUUUAAAAAAUAUGAAAGAAGACUUCUACGAAUCGACAACAUGCGAAUAUGGAGAACCGGAGUUUACCGUGAAAAAACAAAGCGAUUUCAGAAGAGCUUCAGCUGCUCCGUCUUCAGUGUAUACCUCCCCAGUCCCAACUCACGCCAAUAUCUCGCGAGAUUCAUCGUACGAAUUGAGUACCCAAACAAAUGAAACAGAACAUAUAUAUCGAGGACUUUUUGUCGAAAGCUUGGAGUUAACAGCCAGCACAAGGAGUGAUCAUGUUUAUGCUGAUGCAGAUUAGAUAAUUUAGCCAGCCUUAUCAUAAUCAUUAUUUCAUUAUUCCGCUAGAAAUGUGUUUGUCUUCACUUAUACUUGACAUGGUAUACAAUGUAUUUUCAAUUAAGUUUAGUUUGACCAAUCAUUAAACUUGUAUCAUGUAUUUAUCACCAAACUUUGAUGUACAUGUAACACUUUAUGUUUUCCUAAAAUCUGGUGCGAUAAUAAAUUCACGCUACAAGUUCCUGAGUUGACGCGGGUCAACAAUUGUAAAGCCGCCAAAUAUAAAUACUGCCAAAAUAUUUACAUAACGUGGUUUGGAGGGGGUUUCUAAUCACAUAGAUUAGCCUUCAUUGGUCAUCCUAGGUAUGUUAAUUGUUGGGGACUAUUCGUAGUGCAAAUUGGCUAACAAUUUUAAGGUAAUUCCACCCCUCUAGAAGUAUAGAUUGAAUCUUAUAUUUGAUUGUUGAUUCUUCAAAUGAUAUAUCUUAGUAGCAAAUAGAUAUGAUAAAAUAAGUAUGUUGCGGUAUUAAUAAUUCUUUUUAUCAAUUAGCACACAUAUACCUGUAUCUACGUCAGAAAAUUGCAAUUUUCCUUAAGCAGCAUUAUCAAAAAAAACUGGUUGAAACGAUAAAAUAGUAUUCAUAACAAUUUCAUGAAACAGUUUCUUUAAAAAAUAUACAAAAUGUUUGUGAAAAAUAAAGGAAAUCUAUCACAUAAUGGAUUAAAUUUUAAUGAAAACAGGGUUAUUGCCCUUAGAUUCAAAAAUUGAUUAUUCACAUAUAACUUAGACUUUUGAAAUAUAUGAUUAACAAGAUUUUUUACAAUAACAAUUGAAAAAGACUCCAACAAAUGUUAUGUUUCUGUCAUGUAUAAAUCUUAUUAAAUUAUUGACUU